rnacentral:rRNA from 1 species
UGGGGAAUAUUGGACAAUGGGCGAAAGCCUGAUCCAGCAAUGCCGCGUGAGUGAUGAAGGCCCUAGGGUUGUAAAGCUCUUUUACCCGGGAAGAUAAUGACUGUACCGGGAGAAUAAGCCCCGGCUAACUCCGUGCCAGCAGCCGCGGUAAUACGGAGGGGGCUAGCGUUGUUCGGAAUUACUGGGCGUAAAGCGCACGUAGGCGGCUGUUCAAGUCAGAGGUGAAAGCCCGGAGCUCAACUCCGGAAUUGCCUUUGAAACUAGACAGCUUGAUCGUCGGAGAGGUGAGUGGAAUUCCGAGUGUAGAGGUGAAAUUCGUAGAUAUUCGGAAGAACACCAGUGGCGAAGGCGGCUCACUGGACGACUGAUGACGCUGAGGUGCGAAAGCGUGGGGAGCAAACAG